rnacentral:lncRNA from 1 species
UGCUUUUCCUUCCCCUCCAUAACCUGCGCAACUCAGCAGCUUUUUCAAUGCCAAGUACUCAGCUGUUCGGUAACCAAGGCUAACGAUUGUAGUCCCUGCCUCCUGCCUCUCUCGCCAAAUUCGUUCGUUACGCGAACGAAAAACCGCUACGUACGCCCGAAUUGUCAAUGGUUUUUAGAUUUCAGUAACCGUUUGUGUCGGAAUUUAGUGUCGGCUGUAGUAUUUGUGAGUUUCAGUCAAAAUGAUAACAAUUGUACCGAAGACCAUUCAGGUCACUGGGCUAAGUAGUCCUGUCCGAGGGGCUGCCAAGAAAGCUUUGUUGGCAAACUUAAUAAAUUGACGGUCAGUUCCUCUAACACAGAACAGAAAGCAUCUUACCAUGAAGUUACCGGUGACAUCAUUUGUCCGUCAAUGGUCCAGGGAAUCGACCAUAUUCGAGACCCUCGACUAAACAAGGUAAAGUGUUUCUUACGACUUUAAUUUCACUAAUUUGGCCUAGCCUCCAAGUGCUGCUGAUCAGCAGUUUUCUCUUGACAUGAAGGAAGUUAGAAGCUUUGAAACAACCUGCCUGAAUAACCAGUGGAUGAUUUCAGAUUUUAUUGAAAAAUCAGUCCUUUCAUAUUUUAAGAAUCUUAGUAUUUUUAGUUAAAUAAUCUAAAAGAUUUUAAAUUGUAAUUUCUUGAAUGUAAGUAAGGGGGUUGUGUUUCUAAAGGCUUUUAAUAAUUGUUUUCAAACUUGUGCUGGAAAGGCUACCUUAGAGGUUUGGAGCAACCAGAUUUUCAGAGGAGCUGAAAAAUCUGCCUUAUUUCCACUCAAACAAUAAUUCUCCAUUCAACUGCUCUCAGAAAAAAUCUAGGCUAAAAUUCCUCUCAAUUAUGUAAAUGAACUCAAGAAUGUCAUUGUUCUUGAGAGCUUUCAAGGAAUUUGGAAGCUAAGACAGGGUCUAUGAUUGCUCACUUAUCAUCUUGGUUUUUGGAGGAAAAUGAAAAAUACCUGAAUCCUCUUACCUUCAACUGGUGAAUUUAUCUGUGCUGAUAUUUUGAUGACCCAGUCAGGGAAAUGAGGAAAAUUCUCUAUUCUUGAGAUCAAGCCCGAAAAUUUUGAAGUUUUUGGUCAUAACUGUUUGCAAAGUAUUGUUGGAAAAUUUAAGCAUAACACUUUUUUCAAAUUGAUAAUACCUUUAUUCACCAUCGAGGUGUGCUAAAGAUAAAUGACCGUUUAAAGAAAAAGGAAUGAUCACCAAGAGUUCAGAGCAUAUCUUUCAAAAAACAAAAAAUUAGUGCAGCUAAUCUGGAUGCAAUGCUACACCUCACCAACAAAACUAGAAAUGUAUCGAGAGCAAAGUGCUUUGUUCGUACACACAGCACUACACUGUAGUAAGCUUUUUAAAAUGUUCAGUAUUAUAGAAAUAAGGAUAAGAUAAGAAGUGACCUCUUAUCUAGAGUUCAGCUGCCCAAUUUGUGGAUGCUAAAUUAUAAAAUCAUUUUUUCGUAUCAUUCUAAUCGAAAUGGUUGCCAGUUUUAAAUUAUCAUUUAAACUUGUGCUUUUCCAUUGUCUCUCAAAAGUAUAGGAUAAUAUUGAUUUUAAAAAAAAACGAAGAGUAUCAUUUGUAUCUUUAUGGCUAGAUAUUUUCUUUUUAUUUUGGCGAGUAGCCCUAUCCCUGAAAUCCUGAAAAUUACUCUGUUCCCACUGCUUUAAAAUUACAAGAUUUUGAGCUCUUAAAUUCUAUUGUAAGUAUCUGUACUUAAGUAACCGUACAUUAAUUUUCAGGAAAUAGGAAAUUGUAAAAUGAAAAUAAUUUUUUAGACAAUUAGUUAUUUAUCUGAAAAGGGGUAAAUUGAUUGCUGUAUCUGAAAUUUUUGAUUUUGCACAUCUUGUAAUCACCUAAACCUGCGCCCCUUCUGUAAAUAAUCAUCUCCUGUCUCACACACAUAAAAUUAGAAGGUACCUACGCAUCUUAAAAGUGACCCACUCAAAAAAAUUAAAUUAAAAUCAUGGAAGCAGUUGAAUUAUAAAAAAAUCAAGAAUCAAGCAGCUUGGUUUUUAUUCUCAGUUUGGCAUCAGGAAGACCAUUUGAAGUA